rnacentral:rRNA from 1 species
ACGCUCGACACCUACGGGAGGAGCAGUGGGGAAUAUUGCACAAUGGGGGAAACCCUGAUGCAGCGACGCCGCGUGAGCGAAGAAGUAUUUCGGUAUGUAAAGCUCUAUCAGCAGGGAAGAAACUGACGGUACCUGACUAAGAAGCACCGGCUAAAUACGUGCCAGCAGCCGACGGUAAUCUGAGCGGGCUGGCAAGGC